rnacentral:lncRNA from 1 species
UGUAGUGUGUAUAUCAGAAAUGGAAUAAAAAAAAGUGUUCUGUGUUACCUCGUCCGUGUGUCGAACCUUUCUUGUCAUUUGACUUGUCUGAUGUAGACGUCGUUAGGGGGCGCCCGGUCGUCGAUGCGUUAGCUCGCCUUUCUCGUCGUACAUGGCCGCGAGCCUGAGCUUGGCCGUCCGGGCUCCACAUUAUUUCGGGGAUGUCGUUGUCUUCCUAACCGGUGUCGAAAGUCUUUUUAGCGGCCGGAGGUGUUCGGUAGGAACUCUCCAUUUCAGUUGGGACGAAGUGGUUCAUCCUUCGUCCGUUCCCACCGUAGUUCGUCACCCUUCCUUUUUAGUUUUCCUCCUCUUCUCAGAGUGAAGGCCUUCCCCCACUUUUUGCGGGGUUGCAUAGGAGCGAGGAGGUGCCAAUGAGGGGCUUUUUCUUUUCACCCGAUCUUGUUGGGC